CUAAAAUCACCAAGCUCAAUUAGACAAUCAUGGUGACACCCAAUUCCCCAUCUUUCUUACUAUUACAAUGGCUUUCUCACUCUGUUUUGUUAAAAUUCGAUUCUCUGAGAUACAAAAUGAGGGGAAUCGUGGAUUCAUGUCCUUUAGCGGCUUGAAGAUGGUGAGAUUGAUUGUGCUCUUAGAUCUGAUAUUUUGUAUAAUGAGACCGAUGCAGAUCAAUCCAUGCUUCUUUUCGCUAAUUGCAAUUCGGGGUCGACGGUCUCAAUGAAUGUAAGGUCAGCGAUGUACAAUCUUGACGGAAAAGGAAAUGUCUGGUUUACUUUCUAUUCUCGUUGUCGUAUUUUAUUAUUGAAUUUAUGUUUUAUACAAGAAACGACUCACCACUGCAGACACUUCAAAAUUGGAGAUCUAUUCUUUAUAAACCAGCAAAUUUUAAGAAGAUUGGUAUCUUUAAAAUUUGAUUUUCAUUAUAAAUGGAAAUGAAAUAAAAACCAUUCAUAUAUCACAAAAUUAAUUGAAUGAAAAAAUUAA